rnacentral:lncRNA from 7 species
GGAAUCAUCUGGAAGAAAUGGGCAGCACCUGGAAAACCUGCUUGAUAGUGACCUACAGCUAUUUCUUGAGAUGGCAUGGGUUUGAAGGUGUCUGUAUUUUCAUGAGAGUAGACAAAAGAAGAAGGCAAAUCAUUCUUGGUGGCUGUUUUUCAUAAGGUCAGAUAAUGAAAUACAAGUGCAAAGAAAAAACAGUGUGAUAGUAUCAAUUGCAUAUGUGAGCAAAGGUCACUGAAAGGAAGCAGCUUUCACAACUGGCCGGAGGAAGUUUCCUGACGUGGUGGCAAGAACAACUCCAACUGUGAUCAUUUCUGAAAAGCAACCUGUUUGCUACAGAUAGAAGAUUUCGCUUGUAAAAUAAACUUAUCUGGUCUCCGUAUGUGGGAGAAAGGUACAGCAAGAUCUUGGGUAACAGCUAUUUUUAAUGCAGCAGAGCCUGGCAAUCUGAUGGGACUGCAAGAGCAUCCAGGACUAGUUUUGCUGGGAUCUUCUUGUAGCUAUUACUCUCCAAGAUCCUAGAAAGCGUACAUUUUCCUUGCUUCUUGGAGGAAGGGUGGGAUUGCUUUUCACCUUUUCUGGGAAACUUGCAAAAUGCUAUAGAUUAAUAAGUGAUCUGAAGCCACUGUUCUGAGGAAUUGUUCCAGGUAUCAGUCGCUAGCAAUUGUGCUAUUUUUUUAUCGAGAGGCAUUUGCAGUCACUUCAUGUAAAAAUGGAAAAAACCCAAACCCUGCUAUCAGAUUCUGGCAAAAAAGGAAAAUAGAUACUUAAACUAUAAUUAGUCAGUCAAACUGUUUAAUUAAAUUCAAUAGUAAAUGCCAUGUCAGUUCCAGAGAGGAAGAUGCUAUGUGCAUGUAAACUUUUUCAACCGAUGCAAGUGUUUCAAGGUUUUAUUUUAGAAAUAUAGAAUCUAUCAGCAAGAAUGUGAUUUCAUGUCUAUUCUCUUUCAUUGAAACACUGAAAAUUCAUUGGUAGUUGUGUGGUGUUAAGGAUGUUUAAUAAUGUUGUAAAAAUCAAUAGGAAAUAAAGGUAAAAGUGGGGAGCUUGUGUAUCAGAUUAUAACUGCUUUGGAUUUUUUAUUAGUACUAACUUGUAUUUGUCACAUUUUUUUGUUUUUAGAAUCAAAGAACUGAAUCCAAAGGGGAGUAAAAAUACUGCAGAAUUGUUCUGCUCUGGUAUUUUAAUUUUCAGAUUCAGGAAAAUGCUACUGAUAAAUUUGAAUAAUUGGAUUUAUGAUUGUAGAAUAAAAAUUGGGGGGAGGCAAAGAAAGACUGCAUUAUAUUGAUAUGCUCAGUGUUUGGAAGAGUCAGUAAAAUUUUCAAGUUUUUAUAUGUAUAUGUAACUAUAUAUAUGUAUAUAUUUAUAACUAUAACUAUGUAUGUAUGUAAGUGGACUGAAACAUCAGACUGGCUUCUGACUACUAAGAUUUAUUUCAUUUUGUUUGAAGCUUUGUUUCUAUUGUACAACCAAGCAGAGAAAAAAUGAGUAAUUUCAGAAUGAGAUCCUGCAGUCUAUUUCCUAUAUCUAGUCAGACCAAAGAUUCUAUCAAUAUGGUAAGGUUUUGUCCUAGGGUGUAUUUUUCAGAGCGGGGAUUUUGUUUUCAGCAUCUGUCUGUAUCUGUGCCAGUUUUCCAGGAGCCAAAUAGAAACCUAAUCAGUAGUAUUGAUAAAAUUCAACUGAAGAAAAACAUGUUUCC